AGGUUAAUUAAAGCGGCAAUUCUGGGAGAACUCAGAAGAUGACAUAAAAAGAGUUGUGUUGGUAGCCACAGAUAGCUUUUCACUCAUUACGUACAGCAUAUUUGGUUGAGAAGAUUCGGCAAAGAGGCCAUUAUCAAGUUUUAAUUUACAACAAGGCCACUCAUUUUCUUUUUCAUUUAUUUUUUCGGAUUAAGGUUUAGAAAAUGGGGCAUGGGGCACAUUUCAUAAUUUUUAAAAGUUUGGAUGUUUAAACUUAUACUCUUAAGUCCCUUUCAAUUCUCUUAAAAUAUUCAUUUCUCUUCUUAGCUUGGAACUCUCAAACUUCCAGCCGAAUCUUCCUCUCCCCCAAGCUCCAAUAAUCUUUAGUUGUCGUACCAAGAUCGCAUAAAUGCCUAUGUGUAGAGGAAGAGGAGGAAUAAUACUCCCCCAUUCUUGUGAUAUGGUCCAAACCUGUUCUAAUUCGAAUCAGAAGGAAAAAAAAAGUGGUGAAGAAGUUAGCCGAGAUGGAAAAAAGAAAAAGAAGUGCAGAAGCUGCGAGUCAGUCCUACUCAGACCCCAUGGAUGAGUGUAGUGUGGAUGUUGAUGAAGGAGAUAGAGUUGAGAGUGAUGGUUUCUGCGGAUAGUUCAAAGCAUUCUAGUGCUGCUGAAGAUGUUGAUCCUUUGUUCUUGCCAUAUUGUGCAAAGACAAUUAAUGUUGAAAAGUAUGGUUUGAUUAAUUGGUUGGAUGGUUAUAAUUCUUUUCCAGCAAAAGUUACUGUUAGGAGCAGGCUGAACUUGUUAGCUGACUUUAACAAAGUGUUGAGAGAUCAAAAACUAAGGAAAAUGCGGAAGCAUUCCAGUUUUGGUCAGUUUAGAAAACUAUCAAAAUUCUUCAUCAAUUUCAAUGGAUGGAUGAUCUACUAUCUGCUUCUUCGCCAUGUCGUAGAGAAUAAGAAGCGUGAAAUGUGGUUCCUCGUGAACGACAAGCCUGCGUGUAUUGGUUUGAAGGAGUUUGCGUUGAUCACCAAUUUAAAUUGUGGAUCCUACCCCAGCCAAUUUAGAGAGGACAUGACAAUUAAGAAAGAGGCGGCAUUCUACUCAAAGGUUACUCGAAACAAGAUGAUUUCAUCAGAAAAGCUAUUGUCAAUGAUAAGAGGGCCUAGGCUAAAUAAAGAAGAAAAGCUAAAAUGUUGUCUUGUGUGGUUUUUGCAUACAAUUUUGAUGGCCAAAUAUGUGUCCAGGGGUGUGGACCAUCAUAUGAUUAAAAUGGCUGACAAUUUGGAAUUCUUUCAGAGCUAUCCUUGAGGAAAGGAAUCCUUUGAACUCACCUUGGAAUACUUGAAGAACAAGGUAGACGUUCUCAGGCACUACCAAACCCACGUUGAUAAGAAGAUGCCAUCAUAUGCUCUCUACGGCUUCCCCUCGGCAUUCAUGGUCUGGGUUUAUGAAGCUUUCUCCACACUUGGACUGCAUGCUGGCAAAUCAGAUGAGGUUCCUUUGCCUAUUUCUAGGAUGUUGUAACACCUCGUACCUCUUAACUAAGUUUAUGAUUCGAGACUUAGAAACCAACACGGAGUGUGUUGAUAUUGAAAUCGCCUCAGAAUGGUAAAAGUACAUCCACGUCAAAAUGUACAGGCCGUACAUUUUUGUUCAAGACAUGCUUAUUGAACGUACCUUACAGGGGAAAAUCAGAAGUCACUAGAAUUUGACAAUUCCAGGUACGGCCUGAAUGUACGGGACAUACAUUAUUGUACGGGUCGUACAUCUUGGCCGUACAAUUUGUACGAGACAUACUUUAAAGCACGGGCUGUAAUUUUCAUCACGUACCUCACAGACUAAAAAUCACAGCUUCUAGAAAUUGACAUACGAGGUACGUCCAUAAUGUAAGGGACGUACAAUGUAUGGGCCGUACAUUUGGAGUGUACUUUCCCUGCUUCAGCAAAUAGUAUAAAUACGUGAGUUCAUUUUUUAAUCCCACUUUUCAUAUUCCCAAUCCCUAGCACGAAGUUCUUCUCCUCCUACCAUCAAGAUACACUAAGGUAAGGUUAUUCCAAGCCUUUCAAGUGAAUUCUAACAUGUAUCCAUGAUUUCUAAACAAGAAUCCAUUGUUCCUAACCUAGAGGUUUCAAGAAAACCUAUCUCAAGGCUCAAGGUUCAUGCUUUUGAAAUUCUAUUACAAGUUUUGGAGUGUUUACAGGUAUGUAAGGUUUCUAUCUACAUGUGGGAACAUUAUUGUUCUUCCCCACGCCGCGUUCUUCCAUGAUUAUACGAAAGUUCACCAAAACUAGGAUUCUAGACAUGUUCAUGAUAACCCUAAGUACAUGUACCAUGAUAUACCAUGUUUGCUUUAAUAGUUCGUUAUUGUGUUCUUAAUAUUCCCUUUUGGUUAUUGAGGUCUGUCUGUAAUCCAUGAAAACUCAUACUUUGCAUUCCAUGGGUUCUAAAAUGCAAGAUAUGAACUUUUGUGUUUAUUUUCAUAAACUUCUACAUGCUUCCAUGUUUUCAUACAAGCUAUACUACAUAUCUAUCUUCAUGUUACAAUAUAAUCACGAAUCAUGUUUACAAUCAUGUUUAUAUAGUUCAUGGGCUACCAAGCCAAUUAUAUCCAUGUUGAUGUUUUAGGAGUGGCACAAAUUACCGAUAAAGCUCAGAUAGCCUGAAACUACGUAUGCCAGCGUAGGAUAAGGAUCGCUCCGCUCAAUUAGGACGAUUCCUUCAGGCUUACUCAUUGCUAUUUAUUGGAUCCAUUCAUGUCAUGUUCAUCUCUUGUACCCCGACAAGGUAUAGGAUGGCUUAGCUGAUCUGGCAGAGAUCAGACGCCACGUGCUUAAGUGGUGGUUACAUGUCGGUUAUACUAAUGCUCUCCCACAGAUAUAUUUACAGACUUAAAAUAUUUUAUUCAUAUUAUACAUAUUCAUGUCCAUGUUCAGUUUACAGAUACAGUUUCAAUUUCAGUUCCGUUAUUUCAUGUACCAUGCUUAUUUCAUUCAGUUGUUUUAUAUACUAGUACAAUUCGAAUGUACUAACGUCCCAUUUAUUUUCCUAGGGGCAUGCACUUCACGAUGCAAAUUUACAGGAUGACGAUUCAACUCGUUCGGACUAUGCACGUACCAACUAUUGGUGAGCCCCGUCUCAUUUGGGGUUUAUCUUUAUUUAUUUAUUGUCAGUUAUGCAGUAAAGGUAUGCUGGGGGCCUUGUCCCGGAAAACAGUUUAGCAGUCAGACUCAUGUCAGAGGUUUCAUAGACUAGACUAGUUCAGUUAUGUCAUGUCAAAUAUUCAGAAUCGUAUAGCCAGUAUUGGCUCAACAUUUAUCAUUUAAUUUCAGACUUAUGAUUUAUUAACAUAUGCUUCAUCUCCACCAUGCAUGUUAUAGUAUAUUUCGCAUCAGUACAUGACCCAUGUUGAUUCAGCAAGCCAUGUUGUUCGUUCGGUCACAUGCAGCAAGGCACCGAGUGUCGUGUUACCCCCAGGCCAUGGUUCGAGGCGUGACAGAUGCUUAGGUGGCACUACAAAAAAAUGGGUAAUUUGCGGAGGUUGAAAGUUGCAAUUCGCGGAGGUUAAAACCUCCACUAGUUGCUAUAAGAGGCUAAAACCUCCGUGAAUUGCAACUUUCAACCUCCACAAAUUACCCAUUUUUUUAUAGUGUGACACACCACAAAAAUGGAGCGAUUUACUGAAGGUGAUCCGUUUAGGAUUCGAGCUGGAGUUUCACAAGUUGUGCGUGCUUACAUCAUCCCUACAAUGUGUGAGCUGGAGCAGGACUACAUGAAAGACUUCUUGGCAUUUGAUGAUAAGGAUCCAAUCAUAGAUAAAUUGAAGCAUGAAUUGGAAGGUAUGACUGUAUUGGUUACACCAAAUAAUGGCUCGAAGGCUCCUAGUAGGUUGUAAAAGGAGCCCAAGGAGAAUUCUGAUAAGGAGGAUACUCAGCAUGCCUCGAAGCCUUGUAGUAGAUGUGGAAGAGAGACCAAGGAGCUCUCAUUUGAUGGGUAAGAUAUGCAUUCAGAAGAUUUAGGUGGUAAUGUUUCUUGGGACGUCUAGGGGUCGUGCCGCACAAAGUGGGGGCCCAUCAGUGCAGAUAGAGCUGGUCGAAUUGCAGCAGCAUGUGGAUAAAAUGGAGGAGUCUCUGAAUGUUCUUCUCGCUUAUGUGGAGGCGGAAAAAUUUAGAAGGAGCAUGAAGGCGAAGAAUAAGCAAGAGAAUCUCAAAGAGAAAGUGCCAGCACUUGUGGAACGAUCUGCUAUCAACAAAGUGAAUGUACGUGCUGAGCGAACUGCUAAGAUCCCUAGUCCAGCUGCCGAGGUUAAGCAGGUUGAUAUCCCUAGACCAAUUACUGUUAUUGAGAAGGUUGAGGUCACUAGACCAGCUUCUGAAGUUAAGAAACUUGAGAAGGUUAAGCUCUCUAUGCCUGUUGCUCAAGCUGAUAUGGCAGCAGAUGUUCCUGUGCCAACUGUUGAAGUUGAAAAGGCAAAAGAUCUCCCUGCUCAUGUUAAUGAGAAGGAUGCUAGUGAGACAAGUCAAGCUGAUGUUGAGUUUGACUCUGAAAAAGUUGUGUCAGGCGUCCUCGCCCAGAUUAAUUGUUCUUUGGACAAGUGAAUUGGCAUUUGGGUUGUAAAAAAAUGAGUAUUUUUUGUUGGAUGUGUGGUGGAGGAUGAUAAACAUUGACUACUACUGCUUAAUAUGACUGUUUUGGUGUUUUGAUCACUACUAAUGCUUAAUAUGAGUAUUGUGUAUC